rnacentral:rRNA from 1 species
CUACGGGACGCUGCAGUGGGGAAUAUUGGACAAUGGGGGCAACCCUGAUCCAGCCAUGCCGCGUGUGUGAAGAAGGCCUUUUGGUUGUAAAGCACUUUAAGCGAGGAGGAGGCUACUGGUACUAAUAUUACCAGCUAGUGGACGUUACUCGCAGAAUAAGCACCGGCUAACUCUGUGCCAGCAGCCGCGGUAAUACAGAGGGUGAGAGCGUUAAUCGGAAUUACUGGGCGUAAAGCGCGCGUAGGCGGUUUGUUAAGUCGGAUGUGAAAUCCCCGGGCUCAACCUGGGAAUUGCAUUCGAUACUGGCAAGCUAGAGUAUGGGAGAGGAAGGUAGAAUUCCAGGUGUAGCGGUGAAAUGCGUAGAGAUCUGGAGGAAUACCGAUGGCGAAGGCAGCCUUCUGGCCUAAUACUGACGCUGAGGUGCGAAAGCAUGGGGAGCAAACAGGAUUAGAUACCCCUGUAGUC